rnacentral:rRNA from 1 species
UACGAAGGGUGCAAGCGUUGUUCGGAAUUACUGGGCGUAAAGCGCGCGUAGGCGGUCUACUAAGUCAGACGUGAAAGCCCUGGGCUUAACCCGGGAAUGGCGUUUGAUACUGGAAUUCUUGAGUUCGGAAGAGGUAGGUGGACUGCGAGUGUAGAGGUGAAAUCGUAGAUAUUCGCAAGAACACCAGUGGCGAAGGCGGCCUACUGGUCCGAUACUGACGCUGAGGCACGAAAGCGUGGGGAGCAAACAGG